GACAAAUAUUUGGAAAAGAUCUUUAGAAAUUGAUAGAUUCCAAUGCGUUGAGGUUCUUUUAGGUCAGAUAAGUGUUUCUUGGCUUUUUGCCAUUUGUAAGCAUAUGUGUGUGUGUGUGUGUGUGUGUGUGUGUGUGUGUGUAUUUAUACCCAUGCCCCUUAUUUAGAGCUCUAAAUCUCCUAAGGACGGGAACCAUCUUAGCCACCUGCAACUGAUGUGAUAGCCACAUUCACAUAUAUGGAUAUGUGGAUAUAUUAUAUAAAUGUACAGAUAUAUAUGUGUGUGUUUAUAUAAAUAGAAAAGAUAAGGAAGUCCAUCAAAAUGUUUUGAUAGUUAUUACCUUUAGAAGGUAGGACCAUGGCAUGUUU
rnacentral:lncRNA from 1 species